CUUAUACUCCCUCCGUUCUAAAAUUCUUGUCUUAGAUUUGUCUAAAUACGAAUGUAUCAAGUCACUUUUUAGUAUUAGAUACAUACGUAUUUAGGCAAAUCUAAGACAAAAAUUUUAGGACGGAGAAAAUAUUUA
rfam:Triticum aestivum genome assembly, contig: Triticum_aestivum_CS42_TGACv1_scaffold_033429_1BL